rnacentral:rRNA from 1 species
AUACGUAGGUGGCGAGCGUUGUCCGGAAUUACUGGGUGUAAAGGGCGUGUAGGCGGGUAAGCAAGUCAGAUGUGAAAUACCGGGGCUCAACCCCGGGGCUGCAUUUGAAACUGCAUAUCUUGAGUGCAGGAGAGGGAAGCGGAAUUCCUAGUGUAGCGGUGAAAUGCGUAGAUAUUAGGAGGAACACCAGUGGCGAAGGCGGCUUCCUGGACUGUAACUGACGCUGAGGCGCGAAAGCGUGGGGAGCGAACAGGAUUAGAUACCCUGGUAGUCCACGCCGUAAACGAUGGAUACUAGGUGUAGGAGGUAUCGACCCCUUCUGUGCCGGAGUUAACACAAUAAGUAUCCCACCUGGGGAGUACGGCCGCAAGGUUGAA